AACGAACGUUGGCGGCAUGCCUAAUACAUGCAAGUCGAACGAGACCUUCGGGUCUAGUGGCGCACGGGUGCGUAACGCGUGGGAAUCUGCCCUUGGGUUCGGAAUAACAGUUGGAAACGACUGCUAAUACCGGAUGAUGACGAAAGUCCAAAGAUUUAUCGCCCAGGGAUGAGCCCGCGUAGGACUAGCUAGUUGGUGAG
rnacentral:rRNA from 1 species